rnacentral:rRNA from 1 species
UAGGUGACGAUCUCUAGCUGGUUUGAGAGGAUGACCAGCCACACUGGAAUUGAGAUACGGUCCAGACUCCUACGGGAGGCAGCAGUGGGGAAUAUUGCACAAUGAGGGAAACCUUGAUGCAGCUAUGCCGCGUGUGUGAAGAAGGCCUUCGGGUUGUAAAGCACUUUUAAUAAGGAGGAAAAAAAUAACAAUAAUACUGUUAUUAAUUGACAUUACUUAUAGAAAAAGCACCGGCUAACUCCGUGCCAGCAGCCGCGGUAAUACGGAGGGUGCUAGCGUUAAUCGGAAUUACUGGGCGUAAAGAGUACGUAGGCGGUUUUCUAAGUCAGAUGUGAAAUCCCUAGGCUUAACCUAGGAACUGCAUUUGAAACUGGUAAGCUAGAGUCUCAUAGAGGGGGGUAGAAUUCCAGGUGUAGCGGUGAAAUGCGUAGAGAUCUGGAGGAAUACCAGUGGCGAAGGCGGCCCCCUGGGUGAAGACUGACGCUAAGGUACGAAAGCGUGGGGAGCGAACAGGAUUAGAUACCCUGGUAGUCCAAGCUGUAAACGAUGUCGAUUUGAAGGUUGUAGUCUUUGAGCUAUGGCUUUCGGAGCUAACGCGUUAAAUCGACCGCCUGGGGAGUACGGCCGCAAGGUUAAAACUCAAAUGAAUUGACGGGGGCCCGCACAAGCGGUGGAGCAUGUGGUUUAAUUCGAUGCAACGCGAAGAACCUUACCUACCCUUGACAUCCAAAGAACUGCGUAGAGAUAUGCA